rnacentral:rRNA from 1 species
AGUGAACGCUGGCGGUAGGCCUAACACAUGCAAGUCGAACGGCAGCACAGUAAGAGCUUCCUCUUACGGGUGGCGAGUGGCGGACGGGUGAGGAAUACAUCGGAAUCUACUUUUUCGUGGGGGAUAACGUAGGGAAACUUACGCUAAUACCGCAUACGACCUACGGGUGAAAGCAGGGGAUCUUCGGACCUUGCGCGAUUGAAUGAGCCGAAGUCGGAUUAGCUAGUUGGCGGGGUAAAGGCCCACCAAGGCGACGAUCCGUAGCUGGUCUGAGAGGAUGAUCAGCCACACUGGAACUGAGACACGGUCCAGACUCCUACGGGAGGCAGCAGUGGGGAAUAUUGGACAAUGGGCGCAAGCCUGAUCCAGCCAUACCGCGUGGGUGAAGAAGGCCUUCGGGUUGUAAAGCCCUUUUGUUGGGAAAGAAAAGCAGCAGGUUAAUACCCCGCUGUUCUGACGGUACCCAAAGAAUAAGCACCGGCUAACUUCGUG